GUGUUAGUCCACUAUAAGGCAAUGUGUGGGUUUCUUUUUGUUGCUUUAUCUGAUUUUUUUUGCCCUUUAUUCUACUUUUUCUUACUUUCUUGAGCAUGAAUGCCUGAAAAAAUUUCAACAUUUGAUUUCACUUUUCUGCACCAAUUUAAGUUAGGAGUUUACUUUACAUGAAUUUUCCUUAUAUAAGGCACUCCAAUUGGGCAUAACAAUGGUGCAAUUGUGUUUCCAAUUUAUUUACGCGUGAGUGUGAAAGAUUUCAUAGCAAAGGAAGUGGUUGAUUGGGACGAUGAAGUGGUCACCGUUGCUCGAUUCAAGGCUUUUUUUCCAGCCAAAGAUCUUAUUGGAAGCUCAACUUCCUUUUCUGGUGAAUUUUGAUCAUCCAAAUCGCCACCCAUUUUUUCCUCCUCCGAGUUCGACCUUCCCAGGUAUCAAGUACUAGGUUUUUCCCAUUUUCCUCCUUUGCCUUUUAUGCUCAGAAUUUCUUUUCGUCAUUUGUGUGUGGCAAAUGUUUAUUUUGUUCUCACCUCAAAAUUCCUUUAAAAACGGACCUUGCUAUGGACUAAAUUUAUGGAGAUGCUUGGAAAGACUUGAACUUUAAUAUCUGGAUUUAUUAGUCUCUGUUCUACCCUCAAUGAAACAGAGCAAAUGGGGCAUUGAGCUACAUGUUUUAUCCUUUUGGCAAAAUUAUAGAAUUAGUGUGUGUUGGGCCUUGAUUUUAUGGAGAGACGUAUUUAAAGGCUGUAUAUAUCAAAUGUUUAACAUUGUUCUUUUGCCCCCUUUAGUAAAAUAUAAAUUUGUGAUGUAUCCUUGUAUCAUUUUCUGGAAUUUGUAACUGCUAAGUUGAAAGCUAUGUUAGAAUAUAAUAUAAAACCAUUAAAGUUGUCCUUACCCAACAGCUUAAGCUUUUGGGAUUAAGUGGUUAUUUGACAUGGUAUCAGAGCCUUUAUGACCGAGAGGUCUAGAGUUCGAUCCUCGCUCCCCUCACUUUCUAAUUAAAAAGUGGAAUUUAAUUAAGCACUUGGUAGGUGGGCCUGUGCAUUUGUCCACGCUUCAAGCCCAAAGGGCUCUUGCGUGAGGGGGCCAUUAAAGUUGCCCUUACCCAACAGCUUAAGCUUUUGGGAUUAAGUGGUUAUUUGACAAGCUAUUGUCGUGACCACUGCGAUACGGGAAGAGAUAUUUUUGGAGAUAGGUGUUGGUAUGUAUGCAUCUUUUGUUGUUUGUGAUGUAUUAGUUAUUGUCUGUACUUUGCAGUAUUGGUGCCUCUUUUUCAUAGCAUUAAUAUGUGUCAUGAUAACAUUAUUUAUGUAAACUUAGCCAAGCUGCAGCAGCUCAAUAUCUCAACUUUUACUUCAAUAAAACUAUAUGCAUAUAUCUUACCUUGCGUUGAAACGAAUUAGCACUAGAUAGUAGAUACAUGAUGGGUGACACUUUCACGUUAACAUGCUAGAGAUGGUAAUGACAUAUAUAGUUUGAGAAUUUAUUUUUGCCUCAAACAAUUCUGGGACUUGGAAGAAUAUAUUGGAGGGAAUUUGGGGUUGUAUUCUAUUGAUCUUAGGCUUUUAGUUCAUUUCUUUCUCUCUGGUUUUCCCUUCUAUGUAGUAAAGCCUCAUAAUACUACAUUUAUCACAUUUGAUAAGAAGAACAUCCUGCCGUUUUGUCAAAGAUUUUCUUUUGCUGUAUUUUACAUUUAUUAUGCCUUCAUUUUAGUUUAAAUUAGCUGUAAGGGUUGGUUAAUUUUAAGGAUUUUGAUAAUAGAUUGAUUAUAUGCAGUUUGUUUAAUCAUCUUACCAAACUUGAUAGGAAUUUAUUCCAAAACUGUUAUUCAGAAGAAUGAAGCCAUUCUUGUGACUAAAUGAGUAGAAAUCUGCUUUAUCACUUCCUUGACACUGUCUUCUGUUUCAUAUGUCUAUUAUAGAAAAUUUCUGCCUUUGUUAUUAUUUAUUCAACAGAUCCAAGAUUUGGUAUUUCAUUCUUGGGUAAGAUCAACACUGAGUAUGAGAAUGACCGGGAUUUGGUGAUUCAAUUUUAUAAAUUAUUUGCAAAGUAAGUUCUCUCUUUCUCUUUGAAUGCGGUGUUCACUCAUUUCUACCUGUUAAAAUUUUCCUUUCAAUUGUUAGAACAAUUUAUUUAGUAGGAAGCAUGCAUGCCAAUGUCUCUUUCUAGCUUUGAGUUGAAUUGACUUCUUAAGAGCUGAAUUAUAGAUACCCGCCGAUUAGAAACAGAAGGGGAAGUGCAAUUCAAACCCAAACGUUUUAUAUACACUGAUUUCUAUUUUUGCAGGUAUAAUAGAUAAUAUAUUUUACUAUCUCUUUGUUUUAUUUCACUAAUUGCUUUCAUGUACCUCAGUAUUGACAUUAUCAUUGGUUUGUUCUUGAAAUUGUAACUGAAAUUGGUUGUGUAUGUAUUAUUUGCAUGUUCUAAUGGAUGUAAGGAGGCUUCUUAAUCAAUCACUGGAACUCUUAUAGUGUGCUCAUUAUUGUGUUAGGAGAAAGGGGAAAUAUAUGUUGGAGAUCACCAUUCAUUGUAGUACUGAUUCAAUAUGCUUUAUCUGCUUACCUACCGCUCAUUAUGUACUUAUGCAUUUGUUCACUUCUUUUUAGAUUGGUCCUUUGCAUGGAUCCUAUGGUAGCAAGGCAACAGUUAAAGUUAGAGUCCUAAUAAAUCUGCAUGGCAUUGUUAGUAUUGAAUCAGCCCCGAUGAUCAAAGAUCCCAUGGCUGAUUCAGUUACAGUGAGUGAUCAUUUAAAUUCUGAUCCAAUGGAUUUUGAUUCCCCACUUGAGACAGUUGCCAAUGGCGUUGAAGAUAGUACAAAUAAGAAGUGUGAAUCUCCGCAAAAUUCAAUUGUGAUACCCUUUUACAGACUGAUUGUACAAGGAAAGAUAAAGCUAACAGAAGGCUUCCUGUGCCAGUCAAUGAGAUUAUCUAUGGUGGAAUGGAAAAGGCAGAGAUUUUGGAAGCUCAUGAAAAAGAACUCCAGUUGUCCCAACAAGACAGAACUAUGGAGCUAACCAAAGAAAAGAAGAAUACUUUAGAGUCUUAUGUCUAUGAGAUUAGGAGUAGGGUACAGGUUUGAUAUCAGAGUGUGAUGUAGUUGUGACUAAUUUCUGUGAUUCCGGAAUCCGGAUACUUGUAUUAUGCAGUCACAGAAGAAAUUUCUACUAUAGAUAGUUUAUCCAUUGAAUGUUUUUUUAAGGAAAAAACUGUUAGAUGUUCCUUUUAAAGAUCCAGAUUUUUAACUUCCAUCAAGCUUCAGUACUGCUACUUUGUAAUCUUAUCUGUGUAGGGCCUUGAAAUUUUAAUCUUUAUAGGCUCAUCUAUUUUAAUUC